rnacentral:rRNA from 1 species
AUAGUGAACCAGUACCGUGAGGGAAAGGCGAAAAGAACCCCGGCGAGGGGAGUGAAAAAGAACCUGAAACCGUGUACGUACAAGCAGUGGGAGCCUCUUUAUGGGGUGACUGCGUACCUUUUGUAUAAUGGGUCAGCGACUUAUAUUCUGUAGCAAGGUUAACCGAAUAGGGGAGCCGAAGGGAAACCGAGUCUUAACUGGGCGUUAAGUUGCAGGGUAUAGACCCGAAACCCGGUGAUCUAGCCAUGGGCAGGUUGAAGGUUGGGUAACACUAACUGGAGGACCGAACCGACUAAUGUUGAAAAAUUAGCGGAUGACUUGUGGCUGGGGGUGAAAGGCCAAUCAAACCGGGAGAUAGCUGGUUCUCCCCGAAAGCUAUUUAGGUAGCGCCUCGUGAAUUCAUCUCCGGGGGUAGAGCACUGUUUCGGCAAGGGGGUCAUCCCGACUUACCAACCCGAUGCAAACUGCGAAUACCGGAGAAUGUUAUCACGGGAGACACACGGCGGGUGCUAACGUCCGUCGUGAAGAGGGAAACAACCCAGACCGCCAGCUAAGGUCCCAAAGUCAUGGUUAAGUGGGAAACGAUGUGGGAAGGCCCAGACAGCCAGGAUGUUGGCUUAGAAGCAGCCAUCAUUUAAAGAAAGCGUAAUAGCUCACUGGUCGAGUCGGCCUGCGCGGAAGAUGUAACGGGGCUAAACCAUGCACCGAAGCUGCGGCAGCGACACUAUGUGUUGUUGGGUAGGGGAGCGUUCUGUAAGCCUGCGAAGGUGUACUGUGAGGUAUGCUGGAGGUAUCAGAAGUGCGAAUGCUGACAUAAGUAACGAUAAAGCGGGUGAAAAGCCCGCUCGCCGGAAGACCAAGGGUUCCUGUCCAACGUUAAUCGGGGCAGGGUGAGUCGACCCCUAAGGCGAGGCCGAAAGGCGUAGUCGAUGGGAAACAGGUUAAUAUUCCUGUACUUGGUGUUACUGCGAAGGGGGGACGGAGAAGGCUAUGUUGGCCGGGCGACGGUUGUCCCGGUUUAAGCGUGUAGGCUGGUUUUCCAGGCAAAUCCGGAAAAUCAAGGCUGAGGCGUGAUGACGAGGCACUACGGUGCUGAAGCAACAAAUGCCCUGCUUCCAGGAAAAGCCUCUAAGCAUCAGGUAACAUCAAAUCGUACCCCAAACCGACACAGGUGGUCAGGUAGAGAAUACCAAGGCGCUUGAGAGAACUCGGGUGAAGGAACUAGGCAAAAUGGUGCCGUAACUUCGGGAGAAGGCACGCUGAUACGUAGGUGAAGCGACUUGCUCGUGGAGCUGAAAUCAGUCGAAGAUACCAGCUGGCUGCAACUGUUUAUUAAAAACACAGCACUGUGCAAACACGAAAGUGGACGUAUACGGUGUGACGCCUGCCCGGUGCCGGAAGGUUAAUUGAUGGGGUUAGCGGUAACGCGAAGCUCUUGAUCGAAGCCCCGGUAAACGGCGGCCGUAACUAUAACGGUCCUAAGGUAGCGAAAUUCCUUGUCGGGUAAGUUCCGACCUGCACGAAUGGCGUAAUGAUGGCCAGGCUGUCUCCACCCGAGACUCAGUGAAAUUGAACUCGCUGUGAAGAUGCAGUGUACCCGCGGCAAGACGGAAAGACCCCGUGAACCUUUACUAUAGCUUGACACUGAACAUUGAGCCUUGAUGUGUAGGAUAGGUGGGAGGCUUUGAAGUGUGGACGCCAGUCUGCAUGGAGCCGACCUUGAAAUACCACCCUUUAAUGUUUGAUGUUCUAACGUUGGCCCCUAAUCGGGGUUGCGGACAGUGUCUGGUGGGUAGUUUGACUGGGGCGGUCUCCUCCUAAAGAGUAACGGAGGAGCACGAAGGUUGGCUAAUCCUGGUCGGACAUCAGGAGGUUAGUGCAAUGGCAUAAGCCAGCUUGACUGCGAGCGUGACGGCGCGAGCAGGUGCGAAAGCAGGUCAUAGUGAUCCGGUGGUUCUGAAUGGAAGGGCCAUCGCUCAACGGAUAAAAGGUACUCCGGGGAUAACAGGCUGAUACCGCCCAAGAGUUCAUAUCGACGGC